rnacentral:rRNA from 1 species
UACGAAGGGUGCAAACGUUGCUCGGAAUUAUUGGGCGUAAAGCGCACGUAGGCGGCUUGGCAAGUCGGAUGUGAAAUCCCUCGGCUCAACCAAGGAAGUGCAUCCGAAACUGCUGAGCUUGAGUACUUAAGAGGAUCGCGGAAUUCCCGGUGUAGAGGUGAAAUUCGUAGAUAUUGGGAGGAACACCAGUGGCGAAGGCGGCUACCUGGACCGGUUCUGACGCUGAGGCGCGAAAGCGUGGGUAGCAAACAGG